UGGGGAAUAUUGCACAAUGGGCGCAAGCCUGAUGCAGCAACGCCGCGUGAACGAUGAAGGUCUUCGGAUCGUAAAGUUCUGUUGCAGGGGAAGAUAAUGACGGUACCCUGUGAGGAAGCCCCGGCUAACUACGUGCCAGCAGCCGCGGUAAUACGUAGGGGGCUAGCGUUAUCCGGAUUUACUGGGCGUAAAGGGUGCGUAGGUGGUCCUUCAAGUCGGUGGUUAAAGGCUACGGCUCAACCGUAGUAAGCCGCCGAAACUGGAGGACUUGAGUGCAGGAGAGGAAAGUGGAAUUCCCAGUGUAGCGGUGAAAUGCGUAGAUAUUGGGAGGAACCCCAGUAGCGAAGGCGGCUUUCUGGACUGCAACUGACACUGAGGCACGAAAGCGUGGGUAACAAACAGG
rnacentral:rRNA from 1 species